CCAAUAGCGUAUAUUAAAGUUGUUGCAGUUAAAAAGCUCGUAGUUGAAUUUCGGAGUUUGUCGGUUGGUCGGGCUUCACUGUUCGCACUGGCCUGAUGGAUUCCUACCUUCUGAAUAACCAGCAUGCUAUUAAUUUAGUGCGUUGGGGAAGCAGAGCUAUUACCUUGAAAAAAUUAGAGUGCUUAAAGCAGGCUUAUGCUUGAAUAGAUUAGCAUGGAAUAAUAAAAUAGGACGGCAUGGUUCUAUUUUGUUGGUUUCUAGGAUCACCGUAAUGAUUAAUAGGGAUAGUUGGGGGCAUUAGUAUUCAAUUGUCAGAGGUGAAAUUCUUGGAUUUAUUGAGGACUAACUUCUGCGAAAGCAUUUGCCAAGGAUGUUUUCAUUAAUCAAGAACGAAAGUUAGGGGAUCGAAGACGAUCAGAUACCGUCGUAGUCUUAACCAUAAACUAUGCCGACUAGGGAUCGGACGAUGUUAAUUUUUUAAUGACUCGUUCGGCGCCUUACG
rnacentral:rRNA from 1 species